CCUACGGGAGGCAGCAGUGAGGAAUAUUGGUCAAUGGCCGGAAGACUGAACCAGCCAAGCCGCGUGAGGGACGAAGGUACCAAGCAUUGUAAACUUCUUUUGUCAGGGGACAAAAUCAGGCUCGAGAGCCUGGCCGAGGGUACUUGAAGAAAAAGCAUCGGCUAACUCCGUGCCAGCAGCCGCGGUAAUACGGAGGAUGCGAGCGUUAUCCGGAUUUAUUGGGCGUAAAGGGUGCGUAGACGGCAUAUUAAGUCUUUGGUAAAAAUGCUGGGCUCAACCCAGUAGGGCAAAAGAUACUGCAAAGCUAGAGUAUGAGAGAGGCAAGUGGAAGUACAGGUGUAGCGGUAAAAUGCGUAAAUAUAGGGAAGAACACCAGUUGCGAAGGCGGCUUGCCGGGUCGAUACUGACAUUGAGGCACGAAAGCGUGGGGAGCAAACAGGAUUAGAUACCCGUGUAGUC
rnacentral:rRNA from 1 species